CCUACGGGAGGCAGCAGUGGGGAAUUUUGGACAAUGGGCGCAAGCCUGAUCCAGCAAUGCCGCGUGCAGGAUGAAGGCCUUCGGGUUGUAAACUGCUUUUGUACGGAACGAAACGGCCCUUUCUAAUACAAGGGGCUAAUGACGGUACCGUAAGAAUAAGCACCGGCUAACUACGUGCCAGCAGCCGCGGUAAUACGUAGGGUGCGAGCGUUAAUCGGAAUUACUGGGCGUAAAGCGUGCGCAGGCGGUUAUAUAAGACAGAUGUGAAAUCCCCGGGCUCAACCUGGGACCUGCAUUUGUGACUGUAUAGCUAGAGUACGGUAGAGGGGGAUGGAAUUCCGCGUGUAGCAGUGAAAUGCGUAGAUAUGCGGAGGAACACCGAUGGCGAAGGCAAUCCCCUGGACCUGUACUGACGCUCAUGCACGAAAGCGUGGGGAGCAAACAGGAUUAGAUACCCUGGUAGUCCACGCCCUAAACGAUGUCAACUGGUUGUUGGGUCUUCACUGACUCAGUAACGAAGCUAACGCGUGAAGUUGACCGCCUGGGGAGUACGGCCGCGAAGGUUGAAACUCAAAGGAAUUGACGGCUGAGACGNGCGAGACGACGACGAGGGAGGAGG
rnacentral:rRNA from 1 species